CUACGGGAGGCAGCAGUGGGGAAUAUUGGGCAAUGGGCGCAAGCCUGACCCAGCAACGCCGCGUGAGGGAAGAAUGUCUUCGGAUUGUAAACCUCUGUCCUUGGGGACGAAAAAAAUGACGGUACCCAAGGAGGAAGCUCCGGCUAACUACGUGCCAGCAGCCGCGGUAAUACGUAGGGAGCAAGCGUUGUCUGGAAUUAUUGGGCGUAAAGGGUGCGUAGGCGGCGCUGUAAGUCAGAUGUGAAAUCCCCGGGCUUAACUCGGGAGUUGCAUUUGAAACUACAGUGCUUGAGUAAAGAAGGGGUAAGUGGAAUUCCUAGUGUAGCGGUGGAAUGCGUAGAUAUUAGGAGGAACACCAGUGGCGAAGGCGACUUACUGGUCUUUUACUGACGCUGAGGCACGAAAGCGUGGGGAGCAAACAGGAUUAGAUACCCGUGUAGUC
rnacentral:rRNA from 1 species